rnacentral:rRNA from 1 species
UAGUCGUAAACAAGGUUUCCGUAGGUGAACCUGCGGAAGGAUCAUUAUUGAAUAAAUCUGAUGUGGUUGUCGCUGGCUUCAACUGGAGCAUGUGCACGCCCGUCACCUUUUUUUCUCCACCUGUGCACACACUGUAGGCCUGGAUACCUCUCGCCGCAAGGCGGAUGCGUGGCUUGCUGUUGCUUUCGAAAGAAGGCCGGCUUGCCAUGAAUUUCCAGGUCUAUGAUUUCUUACACACCCCAAACUGAAUGUUACGGAAUGUAAUCUCAAGGCCUUGUGCCUAUAAACCUAUACAACUUUCAGCAACGGAUCUCUUGGCUCUCGCAUCGAUGAAGAACGCAGCGAAAUGCGAUAAGUAAUGUGAAUUGCAGAAUUCAGUGAAUCAUCGAAUCUUUGAACGCACCUUGCGCUCCUUGGUAUUCCGAGGAGCAUGCCUGUUUGAGUGUCAUUAAAUUCUCAACCUCACCAACUUUGUUGUGUGAAGGCUUGGAUGUGGGGGUUGCAGGUCCGCUUCUUGUGGUCUGCUCCUCUGAAAUGUAUUAGUGGGUUGUGCCCCUAAUCUAUUGGUGUGAUAAUUAUCUACGCCGUGGGUUAGGCUUGGUUACUGAAGACCUGCUUCUAACCGUCCCUCGCUUGGACAACUUUUGACAAUUUUGACCUCAAAUCAGGUAAGACUACCCGCUGAACUUAAGCAUAUCAAUAAGCGGAGGAAAAGAAACUAACAAGGAUUCCCCUAGUAACUGCGAGUGAAGGGGGGAAAA